GAUGAACGAUGGCGGCGUGCCUAAUACAUGCAAGUCGAGCGAACAGAUAAGGAGCUUGCUCCUUUGACGUUAGCGGCGGACGGGUGAGUAACACGUGGAUAACCUACCUAUAAGACUGGGAUAACUUCGGGAAACCGGAGCUAAUACCGGAUAACAUCUUGAACCGCAUGGUUCAAUAGUGAAAGGCGACUUUGCUGUCACUUAUAGAUGGAUCCGCGCCGUAUUAGCUAGUUGGUAAGGUAACGGCUUACCAAGGCAACGAUACGUAGCCGACCUGAGAGGGUGAUCGGCCACACUGGAACUGAGACACGGUCCAGACUCCUACGGGAGGCAGCAGUAGGGAAUCUUCCGCAAUGGGCGAAAGCCUGACGGAGCAACGCCGCGUGAGUGAUGAAGGUCUUCGGAUCGUAAAACUCUGUUAUCAGGGAAGAACAAAUGUGUAAGUAACUGUGCACAUCUUGACGGUACCCGAUCAGAAAGCCACGGCUAACUACGUGCCAGCCGCCGCUGUAA
rnacentral:rRNA from 1 species